GGGUAAGUCUGAGUAUCGUUUUUCCAAAGGACUCUUAGGCCUUAACUUUCAUGUAAUCUAAUCGCGUAGGACUUGAGAAAAGAUAAUUAAUUUGGUGGUUAUAUGCAAAGAAUAAAAAUAAACAUGCAAUGCAGUUGAUUCAAUUGGUUUAGAGAAACUAUGGAUGAAUGGUGUUGUUGGGGUUUACAAUUUCAUCUUAUCCAUUCCCAUAUAUCUAGUCUUCUUAUUUAAUUCACUUGUUUAUCUAAUUGACAUGCAUACUUUCUUAAUUACCCUUAACCCAAUUCCUUGGUGAAAAGAGCCUAUUACUAAUUACCGGCUUGCUAUCCCUAGCCUCCCCUAGUAACCAAUAAUGCAAUGCGUUCUGAAGCAAAUACAAUUGACCGU
rnacentral:lncRNA from 1 species